CUGAUCUCUACAAGCAAAGGAGAGGACAGCGAGGAGAGAAUAUGAGGUAGACAGGACUUUACACGGGAAUAAUGGCGGCGCCGCUCCGGCGGGACACCUUACCUGACAACUACUCUUAUGGGGUGUGCAGGGACGGCAGGGUCUUUUUCUUAGACGAUGAGACGAGAAGCACUUCCUGGCUUCAUCCCUGCACUGGUGAACCUGUCAAUUCUGGGCACAUGAUCCGAUCCGAUCUACCCACAGGUUGGGAGGAAGGGUUUAUGAAGGAAGGAGCGAGUUUCUUUAUUGAGUAAGUGGAUGUGUUUAUAGUA